rnacentral:rRNA from 1 species
UACGGAGGUGGCAAGCGUUGUUCGGAAUUACUGGGCGUAAAGGGCGCGUAGGCGGCCCGUCAAGUCCCGUGUGAAAGCCCCCGGCUCAACCGGGGAACUGCACGGGAAACUAGCAGGCUUGAGUUCGGGAGAGGGAAGCGGAAUUUCGGGUGUAGCGGUGAAAUGCGCAGAUAUCCGAAGGAACACCGGUGGCGAAGGCGGCUUCCUGGACCGACACUGACGCUGAGGCGCGAAAGCGUGGGGAGCAAACAGG